rnacentral:rRNA from 1 species
ACACUCCUACGGGAGGCAGCAGUGGGGAAUUUUGGACAAUGGGCGAAAGCCUGAUCCAGCAAUGCCGCGUGAGUGAAGAAGGCCUUCGGGUUGUAAAGCUCUUUUGUCAGGGAAGAAACGGUGAGAGCUAAUAUCUCUUGCUAAUGACGGUACCUGAAGAAUAAGCACCGGCUAACUACGUGCCAGCAGCCGCGGUAAUACGUAGGGUGCAAGCGUUAAUCGGAAUUACUGGGCGUAAAGCGUGCGCAGGCGGUUUUGUAAGUCUGAUGUGAAAUCCCCGGGCUCAACCUGGGAAUUGCAUUGGAGACUGCAAGGCUAGAAUCUGGCAGAGGGGGGUAGAAUUCCACGUGUAGCAGUGAAAUGCGUAGAUAUGUGGAGGAACACCGAUGGCGAAGGCAGCCCCCUGGGUCAAGAUUGACGCUCAUGCACGAAAGCGUGGGGAGCAAACAGGAUUAGAUACCCUGGUAGUCCCAUG